CAUACCCAGUCCGACUCACCAAAACGACAUAGUUACGAUGCCAGACUAUGUCAUUUUGAUCUGUCCCUAGCAUUAAACGACCAACCCCCAUCCCCCUUGGUCUUUCAUUUAGUUCAUUCCAAAUAAAUAAAACCUACUUCCCUUUUCUCCCAAAUCAUCGCCUUUUCUGUCAUCGCUCCGCCGCCCGAAAAUUGCCUUACAGGGGUGGAUUACCUCCAAACAUUGCCAAAAUUUAACCAGUUGAUCUACACCAUCUCCACAUUCUUUUCCUACCAUUAGUUUCUCCUCAAGACCACCUGGUUUCUCUGAAUUUCAGAUCACAGAGUAAAAAUCCAAACCUUUUCUCCUUUUUUCAGAUUUUUCGGGUUAAAUCUUCAGUCCACAGUAAACACCCCGUGAAUUACCCAACUGUUCAACAAAAUAAUUUUGUUUGAACAAUCAAGAAGACCUUCCUGUCGAUUUGGUCAAAGUUCGGACAAUUGGUUCUUGAAUUUUCUCAUUCUUUCGAACCCCUGCUUUAUUUUCUCUUGAUACACGUUGAUGAUUGUUGCAUGAAUUAUUAGCCAUGAACGAAAUGUAGAAAUUCUUAUCGUUAGUCGAGCUUUGGAUUCGCCGGAGUUCGAGUCAUCUUUGUUGUUGAAGAUUUUGAAGUUAAUUGGAUUCCAUAGGUAUUUAUCACUUUAUAUUCCGAUAUUUUAAUUUCAUUUUUUCUAGUUCUCUUAUCAAUUUCUUGUUUUCUUUCUUUUCUUUCUCUGGUUCUUGUUUUUCUGGUUUUCUUUUAUUUCUCCAAACUAUCCGUACUUGCAUGUAUUUUUACAUUUUUUAGUUUUGUUUUCUGGUUGUGAGUUUAUACGAAGUUGGGCUUUCCUAUCUCCACUCCUCCUUUGGGACUCAGGGUUCAGAGUCUUUAUGACUUUGCAAGCUAUUGAGCUUAGACCGUGAAAAUCAAAAGCCCAAGAAGGGAUUCAUGCUAGCGUGGUAAGUCCAAAGAAAAGGGAAGUCAAUCCAAGUCUUGCAGGCCUAGGUUUGGGCUGGUUUCCUAAUGGAUUUGACCCAGGGGUCAAUUUGACCCAUAGCCCGUUUAAGGUUCAGGGGUAAAAACAAAGUAACUAAGGGAUGGUUUGGAUAAUUAACUUAAGGAAUCUUUUAAUAACAAUUUGAAGAAGCUUCCUAGAAGCUGAAAAAUAUUUUUACUUGGCACGCAAGGCAGUAAUUUAAGGACGGCCAAGCAAAAUAAAAAUUAGAAAAUGACUAAAAUGCGAAUCUGAUCCCUACGUUGUUUCCCUAUUUCCUUGCCUAUAAAGGCACCCUUUCUUGACUUUAAAAAGGGUUCGAAGAUCUUAAGAGAAAGAUUUCAGAAAAAAUACAAAUGACUGCAGUUUUAUUAUUUCAUUGAUUUUCUCCUUUGAUUUUUUUUUGAAAAUUUCCAACUUGCUGAAGAAAACUUUGAUUCACUAAGUGUUUGAGAUGGAUUGAAUUUGGUUUUAAGCUUGGGUUGAAAUUUUCUGAGUUACAACUCGAUUGGAAUUAUUUUUCUGGACUACUGCACAUCCUUCUUGGUUUUGAGUUUGGUUUUGUUGGAUUUCCUGGUUGCUGGGUUCUGCUGCUUGCUGCUGGGAUGCUGAUUUCCUUUUAUUUUCUUUCAUUUCACCUUCCAAGUACAUUUUCAAAUCACUGCAAUGGGAAAUGUGAGUGUUGAAUAAAAAUGGUGUUCACAUGUCUAGAUUUCAGUUUCUUUAAUAUGAUCUGAGUAAUUUUGCUAUGGUCUGAUGUUUAUUGAUCAGCUUGUUUACAGUUUUCAGUGAAUGCCAUGUAGUGGUCUGUAAUUGUAAAACUAGACUUCUCUUGAAUGUCGUGUAGUGGUCUAUAAUUAUAGAGUUGGAUUUUCAUUUUGUUUCAGUAGUUUCAAAUGCAUUUGAAUGAAUUUUUAGUUUUUGCAUUAGAGAUACAAUGGCAUGGUAUACUACUACUGGGUUCAUUAGUUGAUACGCUUGAUGAGUCGAUAACUUUGCUCGAAUGAUAUCAGUUUACGGGCUCUUAAGGUUGUCAUUUUUUAGGGUUGAUUGGAGUAUUUUUAUGAACAUCAGUACAUUCAAAUAUGCAUAUUUAUGCUAGUAAAAAAUUUGUGUUGUUUAAUGUUGAAAGUUUCAUGAAAUUGGUUUGUUAAUUGUCUUGGACCCAAUGUUUGGAAUCAGACAAGGUUGAGUCCAUAUUAGCAAAUGCAGUCUUUUGAAAACAUGUGGACAAUGGGCUUGGUUCAAUGUCGCGUGCCCCUUUGUAUUUUUGAUGUUGAAUCCAUGUUAGUAAUUCUAUUUCGAAAUCACGUUGAUACUUUGGUUAGAGGUCAUGGACGUUACUAUACUUUAAUGGGAAAACAAAUUAUAGAUGAACUUGUAACAUCAGGCGUAGCAUCUCUGUUCUAAAAUGUGAUUUGAUAUUAAAAAAAAUAUAUAUAUUUUCAUAGCCGUUUAAAGUUGGCAAAAGUGGUCAAUACUUGUUUAACCUUAAGGUCUUUUUUAUGAAAAACGUAACUUGUUUUCCAACAAUGGCCAUGAACCCUGCAGUUGGGAUUUUUGUCAUUAGCCCAGAGACGCCUAAAGCCUUUCAGCUGAUCUAGACUAGUUUGGGGCUUUACAUCGAGCCCAAUUCCCUGUAAUUGCUUGGUUAUUGUUACCUGAGUUCGGGAGUCGUUUCUUUUCCAAAUUUGGGCUAGUUUAAUACUUGUUAAGCUGCUCAUAACUGUAUAAGUUGAUUUCAACUCGGACUCAUGAGUUGUUUUUGUUCUUCUUAAAUGUGAUCCUCUUUAAUUGAUUGAGGCAAACCAUAUUAUAUAAUACAAGUAGUUUAUGGCUCUCAUGAGUUAGUUUAAAUGCCCUUUAAUUAGAAUAAUUUGAGAUGUGCCGUGCCAAACAAAAAUGACAAUUGCAUCGCCCUCAUUUAAUUAAUCUUAUUUUAAUCCUUAGAACA
rnacentral:lncRNA from 1 species